CGAGCACAUCUCCUUCUUCUUCUUCUUCUUCUUCUUCUUCUGUUUUUUUUUCUUCUUUUUCUCUCUGCAACAACCCACGUCGGGGUAUCACGAAGCCUUGGCCGAAGUUCCAUUUUGCCGCCACGCGCCGAAGUUGGAGCACCAGUGGCCGGCGAAAACCUCAUCCCCAAAACCUCAAGGCCAUCGGACUUAAGACGCACCCGAACGGAGCAGUCAAAGUUUCGUUGUCAAAACUUUGACCGCACUUUCCGGCGAACCCAGACCUCCGUUUGGUGAGUGGGUGGCACCGUUGGAACCAGUGUGAAGGGAGGAACGUCGCCCACUAAGUCAUUUCAGUCAACUCACCGUUUUUCUCCGGCGAAAUUUUGGGUAUCUCCGCCCCUUCGGAGGCAUUUUCCGGCGACACCGGAGGUCAGUUGAGCAAAGGGGUUGUACUUCCGUGAUGUACUACUCGAGAGGAUCGUUUCGAUAUAUGCUAUGCAUAUAUUCGUCGACGUUCCCGGUACCGCUAUCAACUGCUAGUGUGCACCGCUUGGGAAAAUCGUGAUAUAUAGAUCCAAUUUAAUUCGCUCUAGGAUAAUCGUUAAGCUUGGGAGUGUCCCUUGGGGCUCGGACUGAACAUUCUUAAGAGGAUCCUAGUGACGCAAAACUUGGAUAAGGUGAAUUAUCGCUGAAGCUAAUGUGUUUAGCUCCCUAGUCCUAUCUUUUGAGCAUUUUGUAUUUAAUUUGGAACCUAUCGGUCUGUAUAUCUAAGUUAGCUAUGAAAUAGUUAGACAUGAGGAAUGGUGGAUGCUAAGUAUUAUUAUGGUGUUUUAUGACUAAUUAAAUUUAACUAUUUGGUGACUACAUAACUGUGGGGAUAUUAUUGUUCUAUGUAUUAAGAUAAAUGAUCCUACUUUUAUUCGUGAUA